rnacentral:rRNA from 1 species
GACGAACGCUGGCGGCGUGCUUAACACAUGCAAGUCGAACGGAAAGGCCCUGCUUUUGUGGGGUGCUCGAGUGGCGAACGGGUGAGUAACACGUGAGUAACCUGCCCUUGACUUUGGGAUAACUUCAGGAAACUGGGGCUAAUACCGGAUAGGAGCUCCUGGUGCAUGGUGGGGGUUGGAAAGUUUCGGCGGUUGGGGAUGGACUCGCGGCUUAUCAGCUUGUUGGUGGGGUAGUGGCAUACCAAGGCUUUGACGGGUAGCCGGCCUGAGAGGGUGACCGGCCACAUUGGGACUGAGAUACGGCCCAGACUCCUACGGGAGGCAGCAGUGGGGAAUAUUGCACAAUGGGCGGAAGCCUGAUGCAGCAACGCCGCGUGCGGGAUGACGGCCUUCGGGUUGUAAACCGCUUUCGCCUGUGACGAAGCGUGAGUGACGGUAAUGGGUAAAGAAGCACCGGCUAACUACGUG